rnacentral:lncRNA from 1 species
CUCUCUUCCCUCUAGAGCCUCACACUUGCUGCCUCCUCUGCCUGGAACUCUCUCCCUCUGCUCUCACAGGGUUCCCUAAGUGUCGCUUCCUCCAAGAAGCCCUCCCUGAUGAGUUGAGCCACUUUAGUUUGUGCUCAGGCUCACCCUGCACGUCUUGGUUGCUCUCAUCACUGUAAUGAUCUAAAACACACGUCUGCUCAUGAGACCCGCAUCCCACCCCCGAUGCUGGGGCCGCUCUUGGAUUUUCAUGCCUGCUGCCAGCACCCAGGGGGAGCUCCGGAAAUGUCUGCUGGGGGCUCGGAAUACCCACCUUUCUGGUAAUGCAGCCCAGCGGGUCCCAGCCUCGUUUUCCAGCCCUCACUCAAAAUGGAGUCGCUUUGGUUCGAACGCCUCUGACAAGUGUGUACCUACGUGUCAGGCCCGUCCUUCCUGCAGGCCUUUGUCUUGGUGUCACCCUGCCUGAGCUGGCCCCAACCACAGUAGCGACAGUGAUGCUGAUGUGUGACUGCUGCCCGGAGCCUGCUCACAUGACUGUGUGGAGAAAGUUCUUUCCCUGAGGACCAUCUGGAGUGGACGCGUGCACUACCCCUCUCUGAAUACACCCUCCCCACGAGGCCCUCUGGAGCAUCCUGUAGAGCCAGCUCUUACCCAGAGACCCUGAGCCCAGAGAAUGUGCUGGGUGGUGAGCCUGGGGACGAAUGCAGAGCCCUAGAUCUCCUCUCCAGAAAGACCGGAUUUUGCCAUGUUGGCCAGGCUGGUCUUGAACUCCUGACCUCAAGUGAUCCACCUGCCUCGGCCUCCCAAAGUGCAGGGAUUACAGGUGUGAGCCACCGCACCCGGCCUCAGGCAGGUAUUUUUACCAGCCGAAUACUCUUGCACUGUGCACUCUUCACGUUCAUCA